rnacentral:rRNA from 1 species
UACGGAGGGUGCAAGCGUUAUCCGGAUUCACUGGGUUUAAAGGGUGCGUAGGUGGGCAGGUAAGUCAGUGGUGAAAUCUCCGGGCUUAACCCGGAAACUGCCAUUGAUACUAUUUGUCUUGAAUACUCUGGAGGUGAGCGGAAUAUGUCAUGUAGCGGUGAAAUGCUUAGAGAUGACAUAGAACACCAAUUGCGAAGGCAGCUCACUACGGAAAUAUUGACGCUGAGGCACGAAAGCGUGGGGAUCAAACAGG